GCCCCAUAGUGUAGUGGUUAUCACGUUCACCUGACAUGUGAAACGUCCCCGGUUCAAAACCGGGUGGAAACG
rnacentral:tRNA from 1 species